rnacentral:rRNA from 2 species
UUCGACCUGAACUCAGACGUGAGC